rnacentral:lncRNA from 1 species
UUGCGGGAAAAUGUGAUAACUUCGGGUGGAACUACUUGGUCGAUAUAACUGUUUAUCCAAUCCAAGUUCUCUAGAGCUACUGGGUAGAAUCCAGCUUAGCAGAUGCCCAUCCCUAACGUGAGUAAAUAGCACAUAAAACCAGAGGGUUUCACUGAGCUAGCAUAUGGGAUUUGCUAUACUUUUUUUUAUGAGAAAAGGGAUUUGCUAUACUUGACAGUAACACUACAAGAUUGGUUACACAGUUGCAUUAUCCUGCCAAUGCAGCCCAGUUACCGUAGUGUUCUGCUUCUUUGUCCUUAUAGGAUCACUUGUGGGAUUUCAGAUCCAAAACUUUGUAAACAAAAAUUCUAUGUGCGGCAUGUAAAUGUUAAUAGCAAUGAGGAGUGUUUGUCGAAAUCGCUCAUGUGGCAGCUUGGGGAAACAAAGAGUU